AUGACAAUCCAGUACUCCUCCUAUGUGGUGACAGUGACACUGCUGCUCCUAGUCGUAGCAGCAGCCAGCAGCCGGCAAAAACUUAGCAUGGCGGCGCCGACGACACUCCCGGGCUGCCCGGACAAGUGCGGCAACGUGAGCAUCCCAUACCCCUUCGGCACCCAGGAUGGCUGCUUCCUCCCAGGCUUCCAAAUCAUCUGCAACCACACCUUCCAUCCACCCCGCGCCUUCUUUCCUGCUGAGUAUUUUCGGUCAGGCCCUGACAUGGUGUACAGCAAGCCGCUGAUCAGGACCGAACACGUCUACUACAACAACACACAGAACGGUGAUGACAUGCCUAGAGGAAUUUCAUCAUUCUCCCCAGUGGAGCUCAUGGGCGUGUCGGUCGCAGAGGGAAAACUUCAGGUACGUGCCCCGUUUUGCUACAAAUGCAAAUUGAACGAGACGCACCACUCGUAUCGGAAUACUGUUCUAAUAUACUUCCCGGACCGGUCGCCGUUUUUCCUGUCGGAGCAAAGCACCGUGUUGAUGGGCAUCGGGAAGUACCCCAUCACGGCAGAGCAGAGAUCCGGGCCGUCUUGCCAGGCAUACGUCCAGUCCUUGGACCAAUUUGUCAACGGGACGUGCUCGGGGCAGGGCUGCUGCCAGGCCACCAUGCUGCCGCAAACCCACUAUGAUACAGUGACCAUGGAGAGCCACGACCAUAACGACUGCACCUACGCCAUGCUUGUGGACAAGUCCUGGUACAGCUUCACAUCGCUGGACCUCGACGGUGAUGUUUUCCUGCGGAGGAACAACGCCAGCGGGGUGCCUGUCGCGGUAGACUUUGUGAUCACCAACCAUUCCUGUCCACGGCAUGGGCAGCAGGUGCCCGAGGGGUACGCGUGCACCGGCGACAACACCAUUUGCGUCCAACUACCCUUGGACGACGACAAUGAAGGGUACUUGUGUAGGUGCUCGCAAGGAUACCAAGGCAACCCAUACAUACAAAAUGGCUGCCAAGACAUUAAUGAAUGUGAGAAGCCGGAUUUGUAUCCAUGCCACGGAACAUGCAAUAACAGGGAAGGAGAAUACGAAUGUGCCUGCCCUGCUGGAACAAAGGGUAAUGCCAAAGAGGAGCAAUGCACGGAAAUGUUUCCUCUGCCAGCAAAGGAGGCCGUAGGUGCAAUAGGUUGUCUUUUUGUCAUGGCACUUGUGGUGUUCUUUCUCCUUCUUCGUAGACAAAAGAGGAAGAUGAAACAACUUUAUAUGAAAAAUGGAGGCCCUGCACUAGAAAAGGCAAACAAUAUAAAGAUUUACAGAAGAGAGGAGCUCAAGCCAAUUUUGAAAAGUACCAAUUUUAUUGGAAAAGGAUGCUUUGGUGAAGUUUACAAGGGUUAUCUUGAUAACCGACUAGUUGCAGUAAAGAAGCCUGUUGAAGGCAUUGUAGCACAUAACGAGCAAUUUGCAAAUGAAGUCAUUAUUCAGUCUCAAGUCAUCCACAAGAACAUUGUUAGGCUCAUAGGUUGUUGCCUAGAAGUUGAUAUCCCAAUGUUAGUCUAUGAGUUCCUCUCCAAAGGUAGCCUUGAUGACAUUCUUCACAGCAACAGCAAGGUGCCUCUUGAUCUGAAUGUACGUUUAAAUAUUGCUGCUGAAUCAGCGGAAGGUCUAGCAUACAUGCAUUCGAAAACCGGCAAAAUAAUUCUGCAUGGUGAUGUGAAACCAGCAAAUAUACUCUUGGAUGAUGAUUAUGCACCAAAAGUAUCUGACUUUGGUAUAUCAAGGAUGAUUGCAAGGGAUAAGGAACACACUACAUCUGUCAUUGGUGAUAGGACUUACAUGGAUCCAGUAUAUCUACAAACUGGACUACUGACAGAAAAGAGUGAUGUCUACAGUUUUGGAGUACUACUCUUGGAACUUGUUAGCAGGAGGAAGGCCACUUUUUCCGACCAUAACAGCUUAGUGAGGAAUUUUGUUGAUGCUCACAAAACAGAGAAGAUACCAAUUGAACUGUUUGACAAGGAAUUUGUAGAACCGGGAGAUUUGGAGCUUCUUGGUUGCCUUGCAAGGGUUGCCGUGGAAUGCCUUAACCUUGAUGUGGAUGAAAGACCAGCAAUGACAGAUGUAGCAGAGCGCCUUCUCAUGUUGAAGAGAUCACGUAAGUAG
rnacentral:rRNA from 1 species